rnacentral:tRNA from 1 species
UGGGAUGUGGCUUAGAGGUAGAGUGCUUGCCUGGCAUGCAGGAAGUCCUGGGUUCAAUUCCUCAGUACCAC